UUUCUACUCCCUCCGUCCGAAAAUACUUGUCAUCAAAAUGGAUAGAAAGGGAUGUAUCUAAAACUAAAAUACGUCUAGAUACAUUUCCUUUUAUCCAUUUUGAUGACAAGUAUUUCCGGACGGAGGGAGUAUUUG
rnacentral:pre_miRNA from 1 species